AUAGCAAUUACAUUUGUUGGAUAUUUGAAGUAAAUACCUUAAUCAACAGUAAAAUAACUAGAAAACCAAGCAAGAGAUGAAGUCAAUGAAUUGGAACAAUCAGCUACAGCAACAGACCAGCGACAAACGAGCUGGAACUUGACAGCGACGGAACUCCUUAGCAAGCCCAGGGAAUUGACGUCAAAACUUUUUCAGAGAAGCAAACGAGAUGGGGGUCUUGACUCUAAGUCUAAGAAGGUCAUCUUACUAGCUAUGAGUGUAGAAUAGUGAAGAAAAGGUCGAAUGAUAGCAACUGAUGAAUAUUAAAUCCAAGGAAGCUGGUGGGAACGCAAGACAUAGACAGGGAUCCACUUUGUUUUUUUUGAAAAAUGCUACUACUGGUUUAUAAUGGUGUCACUGAUGGUAAGUUUCACAAGCAACCACAACACUGAAUACAACUCUAUUUACAUUUUGUAUCUCUUUCUUACAUAGCCGUUUUGCCCUUUAGUUAAGUUAUUUGAGGAUAAAGUCCCAGUCUUUACUAGCGGUGAGCUAAAAACUGCAAUGUGUAGUUUCCCAUAUUUACUGCUUAUUUGUUUGCAAAAGAUAGUAAAAGUGACGACUGACGACUAAUAGGCAUAGCAGAGAGAAACAAAUGUGGACAAGUCAAGGGAGUGUGUCCUAGAAUAAGAGUGAAAAUAGAGAAGGAGAGGGGAACACUCAAUGCGCCGUUGUUCUGUUGUGUAGGGGUCUUCGGUCUUUUUUUUAAUGUUAAAAAUCUGAUCCUUUAUAGGUCUAAGUGUAGGUUUUAAUUAAAAGGGGAUGAAUUUUUGGCUGAUGGAUUCAAGUGUAUUUGGGCUGGGGUUGGUUCGAAUUUGGGCUUGGAUCUGGGUUAGCUUUGGGGAAGAAUAGGGUCAAUUUGGUACAAAGAAUUAACCCAAAUUCAUAUUAAAACCCUUUUUUUCAAUAACCUCUUUUAUUCCUUUUUCCUUUGUUUUUUUCUUUUUCUUUGGUUAAAAUCCUAAAUUAUCUAAAUUGUAAAAUUAAACUAACUACUUAAUUACAAUAAUUAAAAAUUACUUAAUCCUAAAUUAAAAAGUGAAAUAUCAAUAAUAAAAAAUGAAAGGAAAAAAAAUAUAAAAAUGAGCCAUUUUUUGUGAUUUUCAUUUUAAUAAAAUAAAUAAUUAACCAAUUAAUCCUAAAAUGCAAAAACAUAACCUAAAUGCAAUGCAUGGUAUUUUUGGUAUUUUUCAUGAUUUAAAUAAAAAUUAAACGUGCACAAAAAUACAAACAGUUGAUAAAAUUCUACAAAAAUUCCUAAAAAUGGCAAACAAUUAACAAAAAAUCUAUUUUCUUGGUAUUUUAUAGGAGUAUUUUGUAUAGGGCAAAAAUCACAUGCUCACAGCUGCCCCUCUUUGCUCGAAAACACGACGAAUUUUCGGGCAAAGAUAAAAUGAGCAAUUAUGAGGAAUUUUUGCCCGUUUGAAACUCCAUGAGAAGCAUCUUUUGAAAGAAUUUGACCGAACCUUGCUUCAGAAGUUGCCUACAUAUCCUCGGCUAUAAAGGAAUCAGGUCAGUGUAGUUCUGGAAAUUUUGGUAGCUGGGACUACCGAGAAACUGUGGUUUCACUGCUGUUUCUGUUUGUUGAACUCCUUAUUACACCGAAAUAAAAGAUGAAAAGCUAAACUAGUUAAGCCUAUCAACUAUGAGUUACAAGAUUCCUAUCUAUAGACCUUUUAAAGCUUGAUCUUGAGUCUUGGAUGGUUCUUCCUGUAGACUCUGAUCUAAAUCUUGAUGCUUGUUAGUUGCAACCACUGGUUCAUUCUUCUUCAGCUUUUCGGAUCAAGGCGGGACAUGCAAAACUUGUGACUUCAAUCAUAUCUUGGGCAGUCCGCAUCUUUUCUCCGCUUCUACACUUAGAGUUCAACUUCUUUUACUGUUCUUCUUUUCUUUUAUUUGGGUUAAGACUUCUUCUUUUGGUCAUCUCAAACCUUGUGCCCUAUGGUGAAAGACCUGUUUAGGCGCCAAAGCAAACAUACGAAAUUUUCUGCCCCCAAUUUUCACUAGGAAAAUUUCGUGAGUUAUUGUAACCAAAUCUAAACUAUUUCUUUAUUGAAAGCAAUAAGAUCAGGAUUGUGUAUCCUUGGGAAAAGGAGAUUAAGGAGUGGAGACCCCAUAUCUAAAAUGCAAUCAAAUGGGGAUCGUAGGCCCCAAGUUGGGAAGAUUACCGGGUUAUGCUGGAAAAAUAACCGGGUUAUGCCAGAAAGGUCAUCGUGUUAUGCCAUAAAAGAAAAAGGUCCUCGGGUUAUACCGGAGAGGUUCACGGGUUAUGCCGGAAAAGUCAUCAGGUUAUGCUGGAAAAGAAAAGGUCCUCAGGUUAUGCCGGGGAGGUCCACAGAUUAUGCCGGGAUAGUCAUCGGGUUAUGCCAGAAAAAGAAAAAAGGUCCUUGGGUUAUGUCGGGAAAGGUCAUCGGGUUAUGCCGAAAAAGAGAAAAGGUCCUCGGGUUAUGCCGGGGAGGUCCAUGGGUUAUGCCGGGAAAGUCAUCGGGUUAUGCCAGAAAAGAAAUGGUCCUCGGGUUAUGCCGGGGAUUAACUAAGAAGUGGAACCCUAUAACGGAAAAGACUACCAAGUUAUGCUGGGAGUGACUAGGGAAUGCGACCCUAUAUUGGGAGAACGUAGAUAAAGAUUGGGGACCCUAAGCUACCAUGAUUUUGGGAAUUUUCUUCUUCUUGUUUUCAUUUCACUUUCAAUACUUUAUUCAAGAGAAUGCAUGAAGAGUUUGGAAAGGGACUUCCCUUUUGGGUUAGCUUCUGCUGCAGGACCAUUCUGGUCUAUGCGCACCUUGCUUUUGUUGCACAUGCUUCUUGCGGGUUAUCUUAGAUUGCACUUGUUUUCAAAUCAAAGAACAAUUUGUCAGUUUAAAACAAUGGUUGGUUUUGUGGCCUUGAUUGUUUUGAUUGCUUGAUCUCGGCCCAACUCUUUUGCUGAAAUCCUUUACUGCUUGCUGGCUUUCUGGAGACUAAUUUCUCUUCUAAAACCGGGUAUCUUGACUUUGCCAAAAUUUCACAUGACGGUUAACCCGUGGGGCUUGGAUUUUUUUAUUUCAUUUCGCCUUUACGGGCACUUGACUUUGAAUUCUUUCUUUUUCAAGAAUUUUCGACUCGGGGGCAUCAGCCAUCAUGGCCAGUCAAGGCCGACUCGAUGCACCUGCUGAGGCUAAAUGCCUUUUUCCUGAACUUUGCUUUUGCUAAGCAGAACCCUGUAAACCAAUCUUGCCAUCUUUUCUUUAUAUUAGUUUCGGAGGAGGAUUAAACCGAAAAGGAUUCAAAGAAAAGUAAAGAAAGGACAGGAAAAUAAAUUUAAAGAGAAGUGUCCCUUUUGGGGAAGGAAAGAAGGACUUAUCUGGAGUGCAUGCAGACUUCAAUAGACAUGACAUGCUUUUUGGACUAGAUACCCGAUCUGCGCAACUAUCUAACUUCUCAUAAACUCAUUAUGACACGCGUUUAAAAUCGAGAAACCUUGCCAGGACCCUUUCAGUGCCAACGGUUGUAAGGGAUUCCUUCUUCUCGAUCAAUAGCGCCCUUUUCGGGUUUUCUCCAAUUGAGCUCUCUCAUUUCUCUUCUCAUCGUCGCCUUAUAGUGCUAUUUACGAGUUUUCACUAAUAAGACUCUCAUUUUUUAAUUUCUCUGCUUUCCAUCACCUUACGGUGCCCGUGUGGGUUUUCACCAAUAAGACUCUCUCAUUUUAUUUCUCUCAUUUUGAUUGCAUCGGAUCCAAAUAGUUGCGUUCUCCGAUUCUUGAACAUUCUUACUGAUUGGUCGAAAGGACUUGAGAAGGGUUUUGGGGUAAAAGGAAUUUGAACCGAAUUACAACUUUGGAAUCAUUCAGGCGGGAUCAUCGCCGAACCAUUGCAACGUCUGCCCCAGUUUUACUUUUUUUUUGGGGGGGGGGAGAAUUGGAUUUUUGUUUUGGUGUGACUGAACCCCAGAGAGAGGCUGCCUACGUAUCCUUUCAAAAUCAAGUCAAAUGUAAUUCAGGAAGCACUUUUGUUUUUUUUUUCUUUUGUUUUGAUUUGAUUGAUUUUUUUUAUUUUGAUUUUGAUUUUUUUUACAAAGGUUUUCAGGUUCCAAAGAGGGUAAUCAAAGAAAGGUAACCGGAUCAAAGGGUUAGCAAAGGAUUGGAGUGUUUGGGGUAGGGAGAAUGAAAGCCUUCAUCAUCCCAAUCAGAUAAUAUUAUUGCCGCAGAUAGACUAGACAUAAUACCUUUUGACUGCGUCUGCAUUUACAGCUGUUUCAGGGUCAUUUCCUUCAAUGUCUCCCAGGUACAACGCCCCUUUUGGCAACAGUUUUCUAAUAAUGUAUGGGCCGUUCCAAUUAGGAGCGAACUUUCCUUUUGCUUCUUGGUGGUGAGGGAGAAUGCGUCUCAAAACAAGUUGCCCCACUUCAAAGUUCCUAGGCCGCACUUUCUUGUUGUAGGCACGGGCCAUUCUUUGUUGAUACAACUGCAUGUGGCAGACUGCGGCCAUUUGCUUUUCAUCAAUCAGGGUUAACUGUUCCAGAAUGGUUUUGACCCACUCACUAUCCUCAAUUUUAGCUUCAACAAUAAUCCAAAGAGAGAGGAUUUCAACUUUUGCUGGUAUUACGGCUUCAGUGCCAUAAACCAAUAUAUAGGGGGUUGCUCCGACUGAUGUGCGCACAGUUAUGCGAUACUCUAAUAAUGCAAACGACAACUUUUCAUGCCAUUACCUGGAACUUUGGAUCAUCUUUCUCAGAAUCUUCUUGAUGUUCUUGUUUGCUGCUUCGACAGCGCCAUUGGCUUUGGGCCGAUAAGGAGUAGAAUUUUGAUGCGUGAUCUUAAACUGCUCACAUAUCUCCCUCAUCAAAUGACUAUUCAAGUUCACAGCAUUGUUUGUAAUGAUAGUCGUAGGAAUACUAAAAUGGAAGAUGAUAUUGGAGUGCACGAAAUCUACCACUACUUUCUUAGUGACAACUUUGAGAGUAAUUGCUUCAACCCACUUUGUAAAGUAAUCAAUGGAAGCCAAUAUGAAUCUAUGCCCAUUUGAGGCUUUUGGCUCGAUCGGCCCAAUGCCAUCCAUAUCCCAAGCAACGAAUGGCCACGGUGCUGACAUAAGAUGCAGUUCUGUAAGGGGUGCGUGAAUCAAGUCACCGUGUACCUGACACUGAUGACAUUUUCGGACAAAACUGAAGCAAUCUUUUUCCAUAGUUAUCCAUUAAUAGCCUGCUCGAAGGAUUUUCUUUCCCAAGACGUACCUAUUCAUGUGGGGUCCAUACACUCCUGCGUGCACUUCAUACAUGAUUCUUCCGGCCUCUUCGAUGUCAACACAUCUUAUCAAGUUGAGAUUUGGAGUCCUUUUAUACAAUACCUCACCGCUCAAGAAGAAAUCGCUUGCAAGCCGUCUAAUGGUUCUCUUUUGGUCUCCACGGGCUUGCUCGGGAUAUUCUUUAAUUUUCAGAAAUCUCUUGAUAUCAUGAUACCAUGGCUGAACAUCCAAUUCUGUCUCAACCGUAUUGUAGUAACUGUGCCUUUCUCGGAUUUGGAUUUCCAACGGGUCAGUGUGGAGAUUGCCUGGAUACGGCAACAUCGAGGCCAAAGUAGCGAGUGCAUCGGCUAACUCAUUGUGGAAACGAGGAAUGUACCUAAACUCGACUGACUUGAAUCGCUUGCUAAGGUCUUCCACAAGUUGUUUGUAGGGAAUAAGCUUGACAUCCCGAGUUUCCCAUUCACCCUGAGCUUGUCGGAUAAUCAAGUCUGAAUCUCCCAUGAUCAACAAUUCUUUCACAUGUUGGCGGAUUGCCAUAUUUAUACCCAUAAUGCAAGCUUCAUACUCAAUAGUGUUGUUUGUGCAGAAAAACUGAAGUCGGGCUGUAGCUGGAUAGUGUUGACCAGUUGGUGAGAUUAAAAUUGCCCCAAUCCCGAUACCUUUUGCGUUCAUAGCUCCAUUGAAGAACAUUUUCCACACAUUGGUUUCUUCUGACGUUACCUCGACUGAAUUCAACUCCUCGUCCGGGAAGUAAGUACUUAAGGGUUGAUAUUCAUCAUUAACAGGGUUUUCGGCUAGGUGAUCUACUAAAGCUUGUGCCUUCAUCGAUGUGCGAGUGACAUAGAAUAUAUCAAAUUCCGUGAGCAGGAUCUGCCAUUUUACUAACCUCCCUGUGGGCAUCGGCUUCUGGAAUAUGUACUUCAAAGGAUCCAUCCUGGUGAUGAGGUAAGUGGUAUAGGCCAACAGGUAAUGCCUAAGCUUCUGAGUGGCCCAAGUUAGGGCGCAGCAAGUCCUUUCCAAUAGGGUAUAUUUGGCUUGGUAACUUAUGAACUUUUUGCUCAAAUAGUAGAUUGCCUGCUCUUUCUUCCCGGUCACAUCGUGUUGCCCGAGGACACAGCCGAAGAAAUUCUCCAAGACUGUCAGGUUCAUAAACAAAGGCCUCCCUGGUUCAGGUGGGACCAAGACUGGCGUGUUCGACAGAUAUUCUUUGAUUUUGUCAAAAGCUUCUUGACACUCAUCUGUCCAUUUAAUUGCUACAUCUUUCGUUAACAUCUUGAAUAUGGGCUCACAUGUGGAUGCCAACUGAGCAAUGAACCGGCUGAUGCAGUUCAACCUUGCCAGUAGGUUCAUAACCUCUUUCUUAGUUCUUGGGGGAGGCAAAUCCCGAAUAGACUUUAUCUUUGUUGGGUCUAGCUCUAUGCCCCUCCGACUGACUAUGAAUCCCAAAGGUUUCCCAGACGGAACCCCAAAUGCACAUUUAGCCGGAUUUAGCUUCAAAUCAUACUUAUGCAGCCACUCAAAGAACUUAUUCAGGUCUCGAACAUGGUCGUCCUGUGUUCUGGAUUUGAUGAUCACAUCAUCCACAUACACCUCGAUUUCUUGGUGUAUCAUGUAGUGAAAAAUGGCAGUCAUGGGCCUCAUAUAAGUUGCCCCGUCGUUCUUCAAACCAAAAGGCAUGACCUUGUAACAAUAAGUGGCUCAGGGUGUGGUGAAGGCUGUAUUUUUCGCAUCCUAUUCUUCCAUCAACACCUGAUGAUAUCCUGCAUAACAAUCCACGAAAGACUGUAUCUCAUGUUUAGCAAAGUUAUCAAUGAGGAUAUGGAUGUUUGGCAAAUAGAAGUUAUCUUUGGGACUUUCUUUGUUCAGAUCUCGAUAGUUGACGCACAUCUGAGUUCUCCCAUCUUUCUUUGGCACUGAGACUACAUUGGCUAGCCAUGUGGUGUAUUGGACCACUCGGAUCACCCCCGCCUUCAACUGUUUUGUGACCUCUUUUUUAAUCUUGUCACUGAUAUUAGUUUUGAACUUCCUUUGUUUUUGUUGGAUAGGGGGAUAAUCGGGGUAAGUCGGCAACUUAUGGACCACCAAAUCGACACUUAAUCCUGGCAUAUCAUCGUAGGACCAAGCAAACAUAUCUUUGAAUUCGAAGAGAAGUUGGAUCAAUGCAUCCCUGGUUCUUUCAUCUGUAUGAAUGCUUAUCAUGGUUUCUUGGACCUCUUUAGAACUACCCAAAUUAACCGGCUCUGUUUCGUUUAAGUUCGGCUUAGGUUUAUCUCAAAUUGUUCCAAUUCUCGGUUUAUUUCCCUAAAAGCCUCUUCUUCAUCAUAUUCCGGUUCUUGGUUAAUCAUUUCACAAUUUGACAGCGUGUUUGGAUCUGGGCAUGAAGUCCGCAAGCAUGUUAUUUAAAGCCGCAUUAUUAGAACUGAAAGAAGAAAUAAGAAAAAGUAACAAAAAUCAGAAAGAAUAGAGAGAGAUUCAUGAACGAUGAAAUAUUGAUUUCAUUUCAUUGAAUUUUGAAGAUAACAGGAUUUACAUUGGAAUUUAAAGACAGUAAACUAAAAGAAACAUCCGAGUUACACCUUGGAAUAACUCGUGAUGUAGAAAAGGUGGCAAGACUGGACUACCGGGAUUCGUCCCGCAUGACUGGGAAUAGAGUAGCCUUCCAUUUUUGCAACUUGGCAUUGGUCCCCAUAUACAGCACCUCAGCGGUGCUCGAGCCUUCCCCUGGCUGGACCAUUUGGGUUUCAUACAAUAUCUGCUUCAUAGCUCCACAUAUUUCUUCAAUUUCUUCGGCCGUGAAGGCCUCAUCUUCCUCUUCUAUGUACUUGGGUUUGACGAAUGUCUUGAAAAGGUGGGGGAUCGGCUGAGGCAAGGCCCAACCAUUGUUCUUUUGCUCAUCUGCCCAUGUUUCAUCAGCUGGCGUGGCUUGAAAACCCACACCAAAGAACUUCUCGCUAGCAGCCAGAGUGAUAGGUUCUGUGAUACCUUGAAGUGAUGUCCCGAGCCCCGUCCUGGGCUUAUAAACAUGCCUGAUCAUUUCCUUGGUAACCAUAAUUGAUGCAUUUGAGAGAAAGGUUUGAGGACAUGGGCUUCCUUCCUCACAUUGGUAUGCGACUACAACCUCGAAAGCUUGAUAGACUAUAUGUUCACUACCUUCCCUGGCUUCAAGACAUGGGACUGACGGGUCCCGGUAAAUUGACUACUCGUCUUCUCCAUGAACCACAAUUUCCUGGUCUUUAUAUUCAAAUUUCACCAUCUGGUGGAGAGUGGAAGGUACGGCUCCUGCCACGUGAAUCCAAGGCCUUCCCAAGAGGAAAUUAUAAGAAGUGUCCAUGUCUAAGACUUGAAAUAUCACCUCGAAAUCCACAGGACCAAUAGUCAAGAUCAAAUCGAUCUCGCCUAUGGUAUCUCUUUUGAUGCCAUCAAAGGCACGCACACAGACAUUGUUAGGCCUGAUUCUCUCAGUCCCAAUCUCUAUUCUUUGCAAAGUUGAGAGAGGGAAGAUAUCAACCCCCGAUGCACCAUCCACCAUGACUAUUUUUACAUAGUACCCCUCACAUUUAACUAUCAGAUGGAGGGAUUUAUUGUGGGCGGACCCUUCCAUGGGAAAAUCAUUCUUGCUAAAGGAAAUAUGAUUGACUGCGAAGAAUCUUUCCGCCAUCCUCUCCAGUUGUUCAACAGUGGUUUCAAUCGGAACAUAAGCUUCGUUGAGGAUUUUAAUCAACACUUUCUGAUGCUCGGUUGAGCUUACCAGUAGAGACAGGAGUGAAACCUGUGAUGGAGACUUUCGGAGUUGGUCUAUUACCUCAUAGUCCACAGUUUUCAUUUUACGGAAGAAUUCUUCGGCCUCUUCAGCACUAACUGGCUUUUUGGGCGGGAAGCGCUUCUGCUUGGCACUAUUAACUUCUCCCACCUUAAGGUAUUUCUCAGCUGGGUUAGUUUCAUUUGCUUCUCCUAGGACCUCUUUUCCUUUGUAGGUUACUACUGCCUUGUUGUAAUUCCAUGGGACGACAGUAGGGGUCUCUCAUGGGCUUCUACGGUGCGCGGACAAUAAGCACGAGCUCAUUCAGCCUUGGUGAAAUUACUGGCCCUCGUACCACAUAGGUCCCUUUAGGCACGCACAUCUUAAAUCCCUUGUUCAGCUCGAACCUUCUUGGAGGGCUCAAUGUCAUUUGUUCUUUCCUGUGACCCCGGAGAACAUAAAGAAUGUCAUCUUUUGGGGGUACUGCCUCAGUUUUGAUUUCUACUAUUUUUUCUGUGUUUUGAGGGGUGGGUUUAAUCUUUUUCUCCCUCUUUUCUUGCUUUGCAUCAGCCUUUGGCUUCUUCUCGACAUCAGCGAUUGCAAAGAUGGUUCUCAAAGCAGGAUCAAACUCCUUAUCUUCGCAAAUCAUUCCUAUAACCGGCCCGUUAUUGUGAGCCGGUAAUGGGUUGUUGGUCACAUUAGGAAUUUCUUCAUCCUUUAACACUAUCCGUUUUUGUUCUAUGAGAUUUUCAACAGCACUUUUCAGAGUUCAACAGUCUUCGAUGUCAUGCCCUUUCGCUCCCGGAUGGUAAGCAUAUCGAGCACCAGCUCGGUAGGAGGGCGAUUCCGGGUUUGCCUGGUUUGGGGUACGGGUUGAAACAAGCCCAUUUGGACCAGUUUAGGGAAAACACUAGAGUAUGAUUCACCAAUAAGCGUAAAGUUUGUUCUCUUGGGUGGCUCCCGAGCACAUGCAUUGUAGGGAAAGUUAUUUUGUGGAGGUCGGGGAUUAUACUGAGCUUGGUGGGGAGGGUUAUUUCUAGGAGGUGGAGCUCUGUUUUGGUUAAAUUGUUACUGAGGCCGAGCGUAUGGCUGGGAGUUCAUCACUGCAUAAGGCUGGGGGGCCAUGGUAUAAGCCACGUCCUGGUGGGGAUAAUAAUGUUGCGAGGUGCUUGGAGAUAAGUAACUUCUGGGUGGACGGGGGUUUCUUAGACCUGAAGCCGCUAUUGCCACUUCUUCCUUCUUCUUUAUGUUUGCUACACCCCCAGACCCGCUUUGAAUUGCUUGGGACGUAGCUCUUAUGGCAGAUUGGCUCAAUAUGCGCCCUAUUUUCAGACCAUUCUCGACCAUCUCACCAAUUUUGAUAACCUCGGUAAACGGUUUCCCUAUUGUAGACAUCAUAUUCUGAAAGUAGUCAGCCUCUUGGGCUUGAAGAAAAACACUCACCAUUUCUGUUUCAUCUAUCGAGGGCUUGACCUUGGCCGCUUGUUCGCGUCACUUAACAACAUAUUCUCAGAAACUUUUCGAUGACUUCUUCUUGAGAUUCGACAGAGAAUUCCUGUCAGGAGCUAUGUCUAUGUUAUACUGAAAUUGCCUGACAAAAUCUUGAGCCAGAUCAUCCCAAAUAUGCCAACGAGAUAUGUCCUGAUCCAUGUACCACUCAGAUGCAAUGCCAACUAGACUCUCUCCGAAAUAAGCCAUUAGGAGCUCUUCUUUUUUGCUUGCCCCUCAUAAUUGAUUGCAAUACCUCUUGAGGUGGGCUGUGGGAUCCCCGUGCCCGUCAUACUUCUUGAACUUUUGGGUCUUGAAACCCAGAGGAAAAUGCACAUGUGGGAAUAUAUAUAGAUCAGCAUAGGAUACGCUCUUUUGUCCGCUCAAGCCUUGUAUGUUCUUAAGGCUCUGUUCCAUGCUCCUUAUUUUUUGGGUAAUUUCCUCUUGCUUGAGGUUCUUUGUAGCCUUCUCCUAUCCCGCAAUAAACUCGUACUGGGGUUGUUGAGGGUAAGAGUUGGUGGUGAAACGAGUAGGUUAUGGUGGAAAAGAUGGUAGUUGGAAAGUGAAAGAUGAUGGAUCAAAUCUUGGCCUGGGCAUAGUGAGUUGCACCGCAACCGAGGUUGGUGGUGCAGUAAAAGAAACCACCCGGGGGCGAACCUCAGAAGGUGUUCUGGUGAAGUGAGCUGAGAUGGUGGGGUAUCCAAGUGGGGUAUUCCGGUAAUUUAUCAGGACAUUGAAAUUUCCACUUGCUCUAGGAAGUAGCUCGGGAAAACCGGGUAUGGCACUCGGCGGCUCUCUACCAUUGGACCAGGCGUCCCACAUUUCUAGCACGCGGAAGUGCAGUGCCCUAUUCUCUUCAGUUGUCGCUGACUUUGAGGUUAGGAUAACCGAUAGCGGGCAAUCCUCUGAGAUGGGAAUCAUUGGUGGAUGACCUUCUGAUGACAUUUCUACACUGCCCUUUGAUCUUGUGAAGUACGGGUGUGAAGCCAGGUUACUACAAGCCAACCACCUUAAAAAACAGAACCUGAUACUUAACAGUAGACAACAAUCCGGUUAGUUUGAAGCAAUUAACACAUAGGAAAUCGCACGUUGGGGGUGUGAUGCACCUAUGCAGUUAAAAGUGUUUCUACAUAUUUUGCAACGAUUGCAUGCCUCAUCCCGGCUUUUGUUUAUCUCCCCGAUUUUAUCUCUUGCUCUCUUUUUCACUUCUCAUUUUCUCUCUUGUUCUCAUUCGCUUUUCCUUGUUUUCUCUCUUUUCUUUUCGGUUUAUUUUCUUUUGGUUCUCUUCUUUCCACAUUUUCUCUUUUAUUUGAGUUAUUUACAAAAUCAUGACCGGAUCUGAUGAGGAUUGCCUACGUAUCACGACGCCGCGUGAAUCAGAUCAUCACAUAGUUCAAGGAAUAAAUGCGAAAAGUAAAGAAAUAAUUUUUGGGGUUUUCCAAAUUUUUAUUGAUAAAAAUUUCUACUUUUCUGAGUUACAAAAGACUCCAUCAUACUUUUUCUAAGGGUUUAAAACUACAAACAGACUUGAAACAUACUUUGAACUAGAAAUUGAAAUACAGACUCAAAAUGAAAAUAAAAAUACAUAAGUGCUUCUACUCCAGGGGCCCGUGGGACAUCAGUCGGUCUUGCCACAUGCCUAUGUGCAAGAUCCCCUUGGAGACACUUCAGGUCACUCAUUAUUUGUCGAACAAAGGUCAUUACUGCAGCAAAGAAAGUGGUUCUAGUCAUGUAUUCACAUUCAUGACACUUCAUGAUGAUGUAGUCAGCAAUUGCUCUAACCCUUUCCCUGACCCUUUUCUUGGAGCAAACGCCCGAUUUGCUGAGACCUAUCUUCUAGUACUUGGGUGUCAUGAUGGUUUUGACCUUGCAGCUGUUGCAUAUCUUCCUCCAGCUGGGACAUUAAUGCAUAGCAAUGUUCCCAUUCUGCUUUAAAGUUCUUAGCUUGUUUGACCAUCUCAUUUUCGAGGGUAGUUAACCUUUUCUUCAAGUUUGUGACUGUUCCCUCAUCUUUCUUUUUCAACUGCCAUACAAACUCCGCCCGUCCCUCUGCAUUCUUUGUCAAUUGUGCUCGGGCUCUUGUCAGAUUAACCUCAGAUUUUUCCAAGUCAUCUUGAUACUCAGAUAUUUUCCUUCUAAGACCAUUUAUAAGCCUUUCAUCUGUUCGACUCCUUUCCUGAUUCUCAGCAGAUAUUUUCAUUUUUUGGAUCUAAGCUCGAAGGGAUUUGUUUUCUUGAGCCAAUUUCUUCUUUUCCCUUUCAUCGGCAGCAGCUUGUCCCUCCAAUUUGCUUAUCUUGGCCCUGUAGCUUGCCUCUUUUGCCAACAAAUCCCAUUGCUCCAUCGAAUCAUCAGUAAAUUGUUGGACGUGGGGUCUCUUAGCAAGCCGUUCGGGAUCCUGAUGGACUUGAAACCUUUUACCAAACCAAAUCAUGUAACUAGGGUCUAAUUCGCCUCUAGAUAGAUCCCGUACCAGAGUCUUUGGCUCCAGAAAUCUACACUCAAUCCAAAUCUGACAAACUUUUCCUUCUAGGAAUACAACUUUUGGACCCAAUUCGAUGACUUGUAGGCUUAGAUCUUCGUCAUGUGGGAUAGUUUGGUACCUGCCUUGUUGGCGCAGCACCCUGUGUGGAGCAUAUAGUUGAAUGCUCCAGAGACCCAUUAAGAGAAGAUAGCACACCUCGGCUGAUAUGUAAAUGACUUCAGUCACCGGUAGCCAACCGAAUGUCCACUCAAUUUUGUCUGAAGUUAAGGAACUCAAAUGCGCAAACCAGGCCUCUGUACCUUCUGGAAAUUCAUAACCCACCAUCCAGUUGUCAUGUUCUUCAAUGCAAUUUAGACCAGUCAUGCCAUAGUUCAUGUACCCCAGGCGGUGGCAGAGAUGUUCUUGUAUCCAAAGUUGUAGAAGCAUGUUAUAGCCCCCGAAGAAUUUCCCCCAUUCUCGACAGACAAUUAAGGCUCGGUAAAUCUCUACUAAGAUUAUUGGAUCAAGGGUGCCAUUCAAUUUUUUAAUCAUGACGUCGGCCAUUCCCACAAGACCCAAUUCUAUGUUUCUAUCCUUUCUUGGGUAGAUUAAAACACCCAUGAAUGCCACUAUAAAAGCCAGUCCCCGACGUGCUUCCCAUUUAUCUUUGUUUCCUGAAUGAUUUAGGCCAGUAUCUAGAGCCUCAAAACCAUGGGGAUCACCAUAACGCUGGUACAAAAAUCCCUCAGAUAGAUUUCUAUCUUGAACUUCCCGACUGAUGCUCAAAAGGUCCAAAAUCUUAUGAGGAGUCAUUGUUCUUAGUGCCACUGGGCACCGACCUUUGAGAUUUCCACUAAGACUGGCGUUUUCCGCUAUUUCCUCAAGCGUGAGGGUUAGCUCAAAAUUAGAAAAAUGGAACAUAUUAUGCGCCGGGUCCCAAAAAGGUAUCAAAGCCUCAAUUAUAUCCGACCUCGGUUUGAUUUUCAGAAGACCAACAAGACCGCGCAAAACUUUUACCACAGUAUCUCUGUUGACUUUUUCUAAGUCGUUCCACCACAUAUGGAGUCCUAAUAGGAUUUCUUCGAGGACUCUGAAGGGUUCAUUUUCAACUUUUCUCAUUUCGCACAUUUAUUAGAGUGAUUGGUUAAAAGAUCAUGAUUUAUUUUGACUCAAGAGAAAGUUAUCAGGUUUUUUUUCAACAAUUUUCAUUUCAAAACAAAAACCGCCUUUGCAAAUACGGCCCUUCAGCACCUCAGGAAAGAAGAUUUUAUGGUUGUGUUUGCUAAUUGGCCAAAAUUUAAAAAAGGAGGCUAUUCUUGCAAAAUCAGUCUUCCGAUGCCCUUUUGGGGACAUUUUGGUUAUUUAUACAAGAACGACAUCACCUAACUUAUUUAUGACAAAACAACAAAAUUUUUGUUCUUUUUGAGUUAUUUUUGCAAAAAUGGAGUUGGACCCGGUGAGGAUUGCCUACGUGUCCCACAUCCGGUGAGAAUCAAAGUUGUGUAGUUCGGGCAGUUUUGACAUAAUAAAACAAUACCAAAUAAUUUUUCCUUGAAGCAAAAAUUCCUUUUCUUUCUCAAAAUUUCGGCAGAGUUUCGGUACUUUUUGGAUACCGGUUUUUUAAAGACAAGAAAUUCUCUCUCUCAAUCCUCAACUUGAUUUUCCCCAACUUUUCUCCAUUAUUCAUAAGCCGGUCAACAUGUAAUCCGAAGCAAAUAAAUGCACAAGUAGCAAGUAGAAUGCAUCAGGAUGGUCUUUUUAUUUCGAGUACACAUAUCCUAGACAGACCCAACCCCUGUGUUGAGUCCCCAAAGUCAAAUGCACGUGAUGCAAACAAGUGUUCCUACUAGGGAUCCUCUAUGAGGCUUUGUUAUACUAGGUUUAAAACCCUGUGUGUAUUGUUCAAGACCUGGCUUACCUGAGCGGACGGUUCGAGCCGGGGGGGGGGGGGACAGCGUACCGGGAAUACAAAAGUUUCACUGGCUUUGCAACUUGUCUGAACCUCAUUCUAAAAUUGGGAUAUGACUCUAACAGAAAAGAAGUUACACGAAGUGCACACUUCCCAGAUGAUUUAGAAGACUCAAAGAGAGGAGGGUUUCAUAGCAAUUUAUAUACAGUCCAAACAAUAUCAAAGCGGUAAAAAGCGGCAAUUAGCACAUUAGGUUCAACAUGUAAAAAUUAGAUAAAAAACAAGCCAACUAUAACAGUUAUUCUAAGCUCGAAUUCUUGAACCCUAAACCAAAGUUCUGGGUUUUGGUCCCCAGUAGAGUCGCCAGAGCUGUUACACCUCCUUUUUACACCCCGAGGGGAUAUGAGAGUUUUUCCAGUUAAAGUGACAUAAUUCGAAAUGAGAUUAUUUUAAUUAUUUUAGAGUCGCCACUUGGAAUAAUUUCUUUUGGUGUCCUAAGUCACCAAUUUAUUUUAAAAUCCAAAAUCGAGGAAAUUUUGACUUUAUUUUUAAAGUCUGCGAACCAGAAAUUCUAAGUAAGGAAUUCUGUUAGCCCGGGAGAAGGUGUUAGGCAUUUUCGGGUUCCGUGGUUCUAGUACGGCCGCUUAAACUAUUAAUACUUGGCCUAUUAUCUGAUUUAUUACAUGUUUUAAGCCUAUUGUGCAUUUUAAACUUUAUAACCACUUUUAAUUAUUUCAAACCGCUUUUAGGAUUUAUGAAAUUAUUUCUUGAACAAGUUACGAUUGCCGUAAAAGUUUUGGAACACGCCGCAAACCACACUACAUGAAAUGCACCCGUGAUUUGCGACAUGUUUAUUUUUAUUAAAGUUCAAAGUUGUUAUAGUCGAGUCAAAUGAAAUGCACACCCGAAUUUGGGAUUAUGUACUAUGACUAUAUCACGGGAACCGUACUCAUAUCCACGAUAAUUUUAUUAAUCGCUUACAAGCUUUUAUUGAAAUACAUAAAUAUUAGAACCAUGAACAACUAAACGACUAAUUAACAGCCGAUUAAGAAAUAAACCAGCAUAUGAAAUCUUCAAGGGAAUUUAACAGCAAAAUUACUGUAUUUUAACAAAGUUUAACACAACACUGAUACUUAUCUAACAAAUAAACAAACAAACAGAACAUUUACUACACGACAAAAAUGGAUUCCUCCACUUAAUUGAACUAGUAAAGGAACAUAAUUAAAAGAAACAUUUAGCAAGGAAAUUGAUUGUCCAAAGACCAACUCCUGCAAUAAAAUAUGAAAGCCUACUGAUAACUAAUUUUAUUUGGUGGACUAUCAACAUGAAGCUGAUAGGCUCCUUCGCAUCGAUGGAAUAAAGUAUAAUUCAAAUCACUAUUUACUUUAACAAGAUUGAAAGAGAAAUAACAAACACAACCAUAAUUAUAAAGCAAAAAAGUAGUUGUGAGCUACAAUUUCAUAAAAAAAUGCGACAGACAUGUAAAUGAACCGAUUGCAACAGAUUUUGUCAAUUUUAAUUAACAAUCAUAGUAAUUACAUUUGUUGGAGAUUUGAAGUAAAUACCUUAAUCAGCAGUAAAAUAACUAGAAAACCAAGCAAGAGCUGAAAUCAAUGGAUUGGAACAAUCAGCUACAGCAACAGACCAGCGACAAACGAGCCGAAACUUGACAGCGACAGAACUCCUUAGCAAGCCUAGGGAAUUGACAUCAAAACUUUUUCAGAGAUGGGGGUCUUAACUCUAAGUCUAAGAAGGUCAUCUUACUAGAUGUGAGUGUAGAAUAGUGAAGAAAAGGUCGAAUGAUAGCAAUUGAUGAAUAUUAAAUCCAAGGAAGCUGGUGGGAACGCAAGACAUAGACAAGGAUCCACUUUUCUUUUUUGAAAAAUGCUACUACUAGUUUAUAAUGGUUCCACUGAUGGUAAGUUUCACAGGU
rnacentral:lncRNA from 1 species